rnacentral:rRNA from 1 species
CAGCAGCCGCGGUAAUACGAAGGUGGCAAGCGUUGUUCGGAUUUACUGGGCGUACAGGGAGCGUAGGCGGUUGGGUAAGCCCUCCGUGAAAUCUCCGGGCCUAACCCGGAAAGUGCGGAGGGGACUGCUCGGCUAGAGGAUGGGAGAGGAGCGCGGAAUUCCCGGUGUAGCGGUGAAAUGCGUAGAGAUCGGGAGGAAGGCCGGUGGCGAAGGCGGCGCUCUGGAACAUUUCUGACGCUGAGGCUCGAAAGCGUGGGGAGCAAACAGGAUUAGAUACCCUGGUAGUCCACGCCUUAAACGG